rnacentral:rRNA from 1 species
GACGAACGCUGGCGGCAGGCUUAACACAUGCAAGUCGAGCGCCCCGCAAGGGGAGCGGCAGACGGGUGAGUAACGCGUGGGAAUCUACCCAUCACUACGGAACAACUCCGGGAAACUGGAGCUAAUACCGUAUACGUCCUUCGGGAGAAAGAUUUAUCGGUGAUGGAUGAGCCCGCGUUGGAUUAGCUAGUUGGUGGGGUAAUGGCCUACCAAGGCGACGAUCCAUAGCUGGUCUGAGAGGAUGAUCAGCCACACUGGGACUGAGACACGGCCCAGACUCCUACGGGAGGCAGCAGUGGGGAAUAUUGGACAAUGGGCGAAAGCCUGAUCCAGCCAUGCCGCGUGAGUGAUGAAGGCCCUAGGGUUGUAAAGCUCUUUCACCGGUGAAGAUAAUGACGGUAACCGGAGAAGAAGCCCCGGCUAACUUCGUGCCAGCCGCCGCCGUAAUAC